rnacentral:lncRNA from 1 species
UUCUUUUGCCGUUGUGUUUCUUUCUGUUCUCGCCUGCAACAGGAUGGAGAAAUGGCCAGAAAACAGAAAGAGUGAUAUAGCCUAAGCUUCACGAUUGCGUGCCUAAUACAAAAUGCUCCGUGAGAAACUUUGGGCCACGCUUUCAACCAGUCGUAUUUUUUGAACAACUACCGUUCUAAGCGCCUGGGAGAGUACAGCGGAUUUGGUAGAUCCGUUCCCUGCCCACAACAAGCUUACGGUGUAGAGGGGACUGCACUGAACUGAGGGAGAAAAAUAUUAUUAAUUUGCCACCGAUUUAAGGUUUCCAACCGGCCGUGUCGGUUUGUCUUGCUAGCGACGAGAACAUAAUAAUAAUAAUGAUGUUGGUGUUUGUUAAGCGCUUACUAUGUGCCGAGCACCGUUCUAAGCGCUGGGGUAGAGACAGGGGACUCAGGUUGUCCCACGUGGGGCUCACAGUCUUAAUCCCCAUUUUACAGAUGAGGGAACCGAGGCACAGAGAAGUUAAGUGACUCGCCCAAAGUCACACAGCUGACGAGUGGCCGAGCCUGGAUUCGAACCCAUGACCUCUGACUCCGAAGCCCGGGCUCUUUCCACUGAGCCACGCUGCUUCCCGACGUCUUCCGAACACCUUUUCAGGGUCCGAAGGCUACCGCUGCACUCGUUCGGGUCACCUGAGGAAAAAGAACAUCAUACCCUUCCCGCCUGUGCCGACAACGCCUUUGUUCGUAUACUUCUUCCUUGGUUCGGUCGUAUUCCCUAAGCAUCAGCUCCACAGCAUUCUAUCCGCAUCCUCGUACUUUCCUACUUCCCCUUUCUGUAAUUUACUUUAAUGCCUGCCUCACCCUGUAGACUGUAAACUCUUUGAGGGCAGGGAUCGUGUCUAUCAGCUCUGGUUUUUUUGGACUUUCCCAAGCCCUUGGUAAAGUGCCCUGCACACAGUAAGGCGCCAUAAAUCCCGCCGAUGGAUUGACGUGUGCGCUGCGCUGAUGCCGAUAAGUCACCACAACCGUGCCGUGCAAAAACCAGGAGGCAGCAUAGCAAAGACACAACUGGGAAAGGUGCGUUGAUCCGGUUUCAUGGAGGUGGGUGCCAUAUUUUAAGAGGGGCUGCCGUCCUUUCUGGAAAAUGCGGCGCUGUAAUCCAGUCCCCUAGACGGUAAGCUCACUGUGGGCAGGGAACGCGUCUGCUUAUUGUGAUAUUGUACUCUCCCAAGCACGGUGUCCUGCACACGAUAAGCGCUCCAUAAAUACGACUGAUGGAUCCGUAUUUGAUUUCCACUCAAUCGCCCGGUGACCGCGCACACACACAAACACCGCAGAGGCUGUGGACCGUUGCUGGGUAAAACGUACGUGCCGAGCCUUUAGCAUCUCAUGUUCUGUAUUUGCUCUCGGUUGGAGCAGUUUUUAUUUUUUAUUACCGCUUCUUGUAUCCGCCCGGCCGCGUAACCAACUGAAAGAAGAACUUUCGGUAAUAGUUCAGGGUUCUGGCGCUUUGAAAAAGCCAGCAGAGGGAGCCGUCUAUAUAGGUGAUAAAAUAAGCGGUCGUUUAUUGAAUUCUAUUUCACGAGGAUCAGCACGUUUUGAUAAUCAAUCAGUCAAUCGAUGCUAUUUAGCGAGUGCCUCUUUGCAGGCAAAGCUCUGGACUAAGUUCAUAUGGUUGCUUUGACUUUUGUUCCGCAGACUUCAUCGCACCUACCGAAACGAUGAAAAGUUUUGGCAGAACCGGGGGGGGGGGGUGGGUUAGUUCUUCCUGUUUUCAUUCGUUUCUGUCUUUUUUUUUUUUUUUAACAUCAUCCGCGCGAGCCCCAGUUGUUUAUCGAAAACAAUAAUAAUGCCACGUAACCAGAACCGAUAAGGCAGUUUUCUCAGUGUUGUCACAUCGGGUGUUUUGGGUCCUCGGUUUAGACGUAACAUUAUGGAAGACGUGGGAAUUUUCCCACCAGAAUAACACGACUCGCAAAUUGGUACAGGUAGAUCCAGUGGAGGAAGAAAUGGUCGUGCGUAUAGGGGUGAUGUUAACCAAGAAGGAGUGUUAACCAAGAAGGAGUGUGGCCUGGUAGAAAGAGUAUGGGCCUGGGCGGUCUGAUCCCUGUUCCACCACAAACCUGCCGUGUGACCUCGAGCCAGUCAUUUCGUUCCUCUGUGCCUCAGCUCCCUCAUCUCAAAAUGGAGACUCAAUAUCUAUUCUGCUUCCUACUUAGACUGCGAGCCCCACGCGAGACCCGAUAAACUCGUGUCUACCCAGGGCUUGGAACGGUACUCGGCACGAGAAGCAGCGUGGCCUGGUGGAGAGAGCACGAGCCUGGAAGUCAGAAGGUCCUGGGUGCUAAUCGUGGCUCCGUCACUUGUCUUCUGCGUGUCCUUGGGUGAGUCACUUAACCUCUCCGUGCCUCAUACCCUUCAAAUGCCGUUGAGUUGGUUCAGACCCGGGGACGCACCUCCCUCAGGACGUCCCCUAUUACCUUAUCUGUACAACGGGAUUUGACUGUGAGCCCAGUGUGGGACAUAGACCGUGUCCAACCUGAUUAUCUUAUGCCUAU